UAGCCAAACAAAUAUUAAAGGCAACGCCUGCCCAGUGAACAAUUAAACGGCCGCGGUACCCUAACCGUGCAAAGGUAGCAUAAUCAUUUGUCUAUUAAUUGUAGACCAGUAUGAAAGGCAACAUGAGGGCCCAUCUGUCUCUUAUAAUAAAUCAAUUAAACUGAUCUCCUAGUAAAAAAGCUAGAAUACUCACAUAAGACCAGAAGACCCUGUGAAGCUUAAGCUAAACUAUUAAACCCUAUAAUAUUUACCUUCGGUUGGGGCGACCUUGGAAUAAAACAGAACUUCCAAACACACGACUAUUACUUCUACCCAUUCCGGCCUACAAGCCAUCACACGACCCAGCAUAGCUGAAAAUUGAACCAAGUUACUCCAGGGAUAACAGCGCCAUCUUCUUCAAGAGUCCAUAUCAAAAAGAAGGUUUACGACCUCGAUGUUGGAUCAGGACAUCCUAAUGGUGCAACCGCUAUUAAGGGGU
rnacentral:rRNA from 1 species